rnacentral:rRNA from 1 species
UACAGAGGUGGCAAGCGUUGUUCGGAAUUACUGGGCGUAAAGCGUGCGCAGGCGGUUUUGUAAGACAGGCGUGAAAUCCCCGGGCUCAACCUGGGAAUUGCGCUUGUGACUGCAAGGCUAGAGUGCGUCAGAGGGGGGUAGAAUUCCACGUGUAGCAGUGAAAUGCGUAGAGAUGUGGAGGAAUACCGAUGGCGAAGGCAGCCCCCUGGGACGUGACUGACGCUCAUGCACGAAAGCGUGGGGAGCAAACAGG